ACAGCUCCGUGAUUUCUCUAAA
rnacentral:miRNA from 1 species